rnacentral:lncRNA from 1 species
CCCAGGAGUGCAGCUCACGUGGACUGGGCUCCCCAGAGCCUGAGGAGGCCACGGGAACCUGGCCUGGGAGGGUAAAGAGAGUUUGGGACAUUUUACCAUCUGGAGUUUCUCUGUGCCUUGCUGAUGAUCUGAGCUCAAACCUGCCAGAUAAGAAAACCUCCUGUAACAUCUGAGAGAAAAUGGGAAAAACAGAGGUACCUUUAAUGGAACAGAAUAAACCACUGAACAGGUAACUAAAUUAUCA